GACGAACGCUGGCGGCGUGCUUAACACAUGCAAGUCGAGCGGUAAGGCCCUUUCGGGGGUACACGAGCGGCGAACGGGUGAGUAACACGUGGGUGACCUGCCUUUAGCUCUGGGAUAAGCCUGGGGAAACUGGGUCUAAUACCGGAUACGACUCCGCGGUGCAUGCUGUGGGGUGGAAAGCCUUGUGCGGCUGGAGAUGGGCCCGCGGCCUAUCAGCUUGUUGGUAGGGUGAUGGCCUACCAAGGCGACGACGGGUAGCCGGCCUGAGAGGGCGACCGGCCACACCUGGGACUGAG
rnacentral:rRNA from 1 species